rnacentral:rRNA from 1 species
UACGUAGGGUGCAAGCGUUGUCCGGAAUUAUUGGGCGUAAAGAGCGUGUAUGCGGCCCGAUUAGUCCGCUGUGAAAGUCCAGGGCUCAACCCUGGAAUGCCGGUGGAUACUGUCGGGCUAGAGUCCGGAAGGGGCGAGUGGAAUUCCUGGUGUAGCGGUGAAAUGCGCAGAUAUCAGGAGGAACACCAAUGGCGAAGGCAGCUCGCUGGGACGUGACUGACGCUGAGACGCGAAAGCGUGGGGAGCAAACAGG